rnacentral:rRNA from 1 species
UUGGGAGCUCUCCCAUAUGGUCGACCUGCAGGCGGCCGCGAAUUCACUAGUGAUUAGAGUUUGAUCAUGGCUCAGAACGAACGCUUUCGGUAUGCUUAACACAUGCAAGUCGAACGGAUUUAUUUAGAGCUUGCUUUAAAUAAAUUAGUGGCAGACGGGUGAGUAACACGUGGGAAUCUGCCCAUCAGUACGGAAUAACAUUUAGAAAUAAUUGCUAAUACCGUAUAUUCUCUUUGGAGGAAAGAUUUAUCGCUGAUGGAUGAGCCCGCGCCAGAUUAGGUAGUUGGUAGGGUAAUGGCCUACCAAGCCAAUGAUCUGUAGCUGGUUUGAGAGAAUGAUCAGCCACACUGGGACUGAGACACGGCCCAGACUCCUACGGGAGGCAGCAGUGGGGAAUAUUGGACAAUGGGCGAAAGCCUGAUCCAGCAAUACCGAGUGGGUGAUGAAGGCCUUAGGGUUGUAAAGCCCUUUUCAGCAGGGAAGAUAAUGACGGUACCUGACCAAGAAAGCCCCGGCUAACUCCGUGCCAGCAGCCGCGGUAAUACGAAUCGAAUUCCCGCGGCCG